GAUGAACGCUGACAGAAUGCUUAACACAUGCAAGUCAACUGUGGCGGACGGGUGAGUAACGCGUAAAGAACUUUCCUCACAGAUAGGGACAACAUUUGGAACAGCAUGCUAAUACCUGAUCCUGUGAGAGAGCUUUGCGUCCCAUUAGCUAGUUGGAGAGGUAACGGCUCACCAAGGCGAUGAUGGGUAGCCGGCCUGAGAUGGUUAUCGGCCACAAGGGGACUGAGACACGGCCCUGACUCCUACGGGAGGCAGCAGUGGGGAAUAUUGGACAAUGGACCAAAGUCUGAUCCAGCAAUUCUGUGUGCACGAUGAAGUUUUCGGAAUGUAAAGUGCUUUCAGUUGGGAAGCAGUACCAACAGAAGAAGUGACGGCUAAAUACGUGCCAGCAGCCGCGGUAAUUC
rnacentral:rRNA from 1 species